UACGGGGGGGGCAAGCGUUGUUCGGAAUUACUGGGCGUAAAGGGCUCGUAGGCGGCCAACUAAGUCAGACGUGAAAUCCCUCGGCUUAACCGGGGAACUGCGUCUGAUACUGGAUGGCUAGAGUUUGGGAGAGGGAUGCGGAAUUCCGGGUGUAGUGGUGAAAUGCGUAGAUAUCCGGAGGAACACCAGUGGCGAAAGCGGCCACCUGGACUGCACCUGACGCUGACACGCGAAAGCUAGGGGAGCGAACGGG
rnacentral:rRNA from 1 species